AGUACCAGCUAGAGCUUAUGUGGUCAGAAAACGAGAAGAAGGCGAUGCACAUGAUGUUGUUACAGCCAACAAAGAACCUGAAGCAUCAGCAUCGAAAGGAAAGGAGAAAGUCAUCGAGGACUAAAACGGGAGAAUUACGGUGUGUAUUACUAUAAUUUGAAUUUUAAUUAUUAUUGAUUGCUGAAUUUUUUAUUGUUAUGUAUGGUAAGUAAGACUUGAGGUAAGUAUGUGAAAUUGAUAUGAAUAUUGAGUGAAAAUGAAAGUGAUGCAAAUUGAAUCAAAUUGAAUUGAAUAAGUGAAUUAUGGAAUAUGUAAUUAUUUGAAAAGUGUAUUGAUUGAAAAAUGAUUGGUGAUUUGAAUUGUGAAUUGAAAGUGAUAUAGGAUUGAGAAAGUGAAUUGAAUACCCUAUUAA